AUUGAACGCUGGCGGCAGGCCUAACACAUGCAAGUCGAGCGAGCGGCGGACGGGUGAGUAAUGUCUGGGAAACUGCCAGAUGGAGGGGGAUAACUACUGGAAACGGUAGCUAAUACCGCAUACCAUCAGAUGUGCCCAGAUGGGAUUAGCUCGGAGGUGGGGUAAAGGCUCACCUAGGCGACGAUCCCUAGCUGGUCUGAGAGGAUGACCAGGCAAACUGGAACUGAGACACGGGCCAGCCUACUACGGGAGGCAGCAGUGGGGAAUAUUGCACAAUGGGCGCAAGCCGUAUGCAGCCACGCCGCGUGUAUGAAGAAGGCCUGCGGGUUGUAAAGUACUUUCAGCGGGGAGGCGUUACCCGCAGAAGAAGCACCGGCUAACUCCGAGCCAGCAGCCGCGGUAAUAC
rnacentral:rRNA from 1 species